rnacentral:rRNA from 1 species
ACGCUCGACACCUACGGGACAGCAGUAGGGAAUCUUCCACAAUGGGCGCAAGCCUGAUGGAGCAACACCGCGUGAGUGAAGAAGGGUUUCGGCUCGUAAAGCUCUGUUGUUGGAGAAGAACGUGCGUGAGAGUAACUGUUCACGCAGUGACGGUAUCCAACCAGAAAGUCACGGCUAACUACGUGCAGCAGCCGCGGUAAUCUGAGCGGGCUGGCAAGGC